CCCAACGAUAGCUGCAAAAGACAUGAAUGCGCCUCAUUUCAAAACUUGGCACUGUCCACCCCCUAUGGCAUUAACGAACGUUUUGCUAUGUUUAACUCUAUCUGUCUUUUCCUCUCAAAAGCAGACAUUGACAGUAAUUUUAAUUCUUACCUUGUUCCAUACUUGUUUCAUCUAUUUUGUUGUAUUUGCUGUAUUUUUCUGUUAAUUUGUAUUAUUUUCUGUAAUUUGAUUUACAUUUUUUGUUUACACUUUGUUUUGACAAGACCCAUCUGAUUGGUUUCUUUUUGUCGCGUGAUCGAUUUUAUAUUCUUAGUAUCAAAGCUCAUGUAAUUUUCCCGACCCCCGCU